AUGGAGCCCCAGUCGCCCGGCUCGCCGGCCUCUCCGGGCAAGCCGUUGGCGCCGGAGCUGCCCGAGCCUUAUGCGGAAAUGCGGCCGUUGGACGUGGCGCCGGACGAGGAGGCCGCGGUCAAGCCGGACCGGCGGACAUCAUCGGCGUCUUCUUCUUCGUCGAGGGCGUCCUCGGCCGGGUGCGUUUUCCAGGUCGACGCGUCCGAGAUGCGCACCCCGUUGGUUGAGGCAGCGGCAGACGGCGACGACGACCAUGCCGACGCCGGUCCGGCCGCGCAGGCGAAGUUGCCCGAGGACUGGGCGUCAUUUUCGGAGCGGUCGACCGGCGGAGGCACGGUGUCGGCGGCACCGGAGGCCCAGACGAUGGCCAAGCCGGCCGUCGAGGGCUUCAACCCGGACAGGAUCCCGGCGUCCAUCUUCCAGCCCAAGCCGGGGGCGCAGGCGGACUGGAGCAUCGCGUCCAACGAGUCGCUCUUCAGCAUCCACGGCGCCAGCCUGAGCAUCUCCGACGACUUGUACGCCCCCAGCAGGUCCCACUUCGACUACUUCUACGACGAGGCCAUGGCGGCCGGCGGCAGCGGAUACACAGACGGGAAGCUGCCGCCGCUCGCGGAGGUGCCGGGCAGCGCGAUGUCGGACGCGAGCGAGGGGAGAGCGAUCCGGCGGCACGAGAGCGGCUCCAUCGGCAGCUCCAGCAACUUCUCCUUCGCCUUCCCAAUACUGGCCGAGCCAUCGACGGGGACGAAGGAGAGCAUGGGCGGCUACCAGCAGCUGCAGAAGGAGCACGAGCAGUCGCCGCCGCGGCCCUCGAACCGCAAGUCGCAGUUCGAGGAGAUGACGACGGAGGAGGAGCGGCGGCCGCAGAAGGCCGGGUGGUGCUGGUGCGGGGAGUGCUGCUGGCUCGCCUGCUCCUGGCCCACCUGCUGCUGCCAAUGGCGGUGGCGGUGCUGCUCCUGUCCGACCUGCUGCCAGUGCAGCUGGUGCCUCUGA
rnacentral:rRNA from 1 species